AUUGAACGUUGGCGGCACGCCUAAUACAUGCAAGUCGAACGAGAAAGCACUUCGGUGUGAGUACAGUGGCGGACGGGUGAGUAACGCGUAGGAAUCUACCUAGUAGUGGGGGACAACUCGAGGAAACUCGAGCUAAUACCGCAUACGCUCUAUGGAGGAAAGUGGGGGAUCUUCGGACCUCACGCUAUUAGAGGAGCCUGCGUUUAGAUUAGCUAGUUGGUGAGGUAAAGGCUCACCAAGGCUACGAUCUAUAGCUGGUCUGAGAGGACGAUCAGCCACACUGGAACUGAGACACGGUCCAGACUCCUACGGGAGGCAGCAGUAGGGAAUCUUGGGCAAUGGGCGAAAGCCUGACCCAGCGAUGCCGCGUGUGCGAAGAAGGCCUUAGGGUUGUAAAGCACCUUCAGGAGUGAAGAAAGGCGUUGGGUGAAUAAUCUGACGUUUUGACGUUAGCUCCAGAGGAAGCACCGGCUAACUCCGUG
rnacentral:rRNA from 1 species